GAUGAAGAACGUAGCGAAAUGCGAUACGUAAUGUGAAUUGCAGAAUUCAGUGAAUCAUCGAGUCUUUGAACGCACAUUGCGCCCCCUGGUAUUCCGGGGGGCAUGCCUGUCCGAGCGUCAUUGCUGCCCUCAAGCACGGCUUGUGUGUUGGGCCUCCGUCCUCCUCCCGGGGGACGGGCCCGAAAGGCAGCGGCGGCACCGCGUCCGGUCCUCGAGCGUAUGGGGCUUCGUCACCCGCUCUUGUAGGCCCGGUCGGCGCUUGCCGACACAUCAAUCUUUUUUCCAGGUUGACCUCGGAUCAGGUAGGGAUACCCGCUGAACUUAAGCAUAUCAAAAGCGGAGGA
rnacentral:misc_RNA from 1 species